GAUGAACGCUGGCGGCGUGCCUAAUACAUGCAAGUCGAGCGGACGGACGAGAAGCUUGCUUCUCUGAUGUUAGCGGCGGACGUGUGAGUAACACGUGGAUAACCUACCUAUAAGACUGGGAUAACUUCGGGACACCGGAUCUAAUACCGGAUAAUAUUUUGAACCGCAUGGUUCAAAAGUGAAAGACGGUCUUGCUGUCACUUAUAGAUGGAUCCGCGCUGCAUUAGCUAGUUGGUAAGGUAACGGCUUACCAAGGCAACGAGGCAUAGCCGACCUGAGAGGGUGAUCGGCGACACGGGAAGUGAGACACGGUCCAGACUCCUACGGGAGGCAGCAGUAGGGAAUCGUCCGCAAUGGGGGAAAGCCUGACGGAGCGACGCCGCGUGAGUGAUGAAGGUCUUCGGAGCGUAAAACUCUGUUAUUAGGGAAGAACAUAUGUGUAAGUAACUGUGCACAUCGUGACGGUACCUAAUCAGAAAGCCACGGCUAACUACGUG
rnacentral:rRNA from 1 species